GUGCUCGAUUCAGUAGCGCAUAUACUAAAAUUGGAACAAUAUAAAGAUGAUUAGCAUGGCCCUUGAGCAAGGAUGACACACAAAUUCGAGAAGCAGUCCAUAUUUUU
rnacentral:snRNA from 1 species